rnacentral:misc_RNA from 1 species
CCACCAGUGCAGGUCUCCAGAAGGGGCCCCAGCCGGCAAGCUAACGGAGAACGAAGCCAAACCGGCUAGCGCAGAACCGAAAGAAAGGGACCGACGACGUUCGGGAGAAGAGAAGUUUAACGCUCGCCCCGCUCACUUCUGGCGCGUGGCGGUUCGUUUGCAGCGUCGGCGGAGCCAGUUUAGCGGACGCGCGCCGCCAGCUCUGACCCACUUGGACAGGAGACCGUCAAGGGACGUGUGUGUCGCCUGUCCUCCGCAUCGCACGAGCGCCCCACGGAGAAGCAGCCGGAGGGUUCGGCUGCACUGAGAGCGGUUUCACUCUCGGCCCCGACGUUUCGGCGAGAAUCUUGCUCUCCGACUCGCUUUUUCUUAACGGGAGUCUUUUUACCCGUUUUCUCCGUCUGCGGCGAGUUUCAUCCGGAUCUACGGGAGGUUGCGUGCUCCGGCUACGGCUCCGGAGUCAAAGUCCAGGACCUGCUGACGUGUAGGCAGGCUAGGAAACAUGGCUACCUCAAAACUGGUCACGGGGCUGCUGGCCUUGGCUGCCCUGAUGCCUUUGGUCACUUCAGACUUCGUUCAUGAUCGGCCCAUGCACCGGAUCCGGCGGCAGUCGCCGUCAAUCAACGUGCACGAGAUCCCGAAGACGUCGUUCAGCUGCUCCGACAAGCAGGCGGGAGAGUACUACGCCGACCCGGAGGUGCAGUGCCAGGUCUACCACAUCUGCGUGCCGGGCGCCUUCGGCAAGCUGACGAAGAUGUCAUUCGUGUGCCCCAACGGCACCAUCUUCAGCCAGUCGUCGCGCGUGUGCUCGCCCUACGAUCGCGUCUAUUGCGCCCUCGCCGAGCGCUUCUACGAGAACGUGAUGGGCGCCAUCGACACCGACAAGGACUACUACCACAGCCUUCGCGUCGACGCCCCCGUCUUCAACGCCAUCGUGCCGCCGCACGACCAGGACCGCCAAGACAAGCGUAGGCGGCCCGUGAGGCCCGUCGUCGAGUACGACGACGACGCCGACUACGACGCCACCACGGCGUCGCCGCCGCCCCCGACUCCUGCGCAGAGACGACGCAACCAGCAGCAGUCCACCCAGUCCAGCAGGAGGUUCCAGCCGUCGCAUAGGUCCCAGUUCGGCCGCGGUGGAAGCAGGGCUCAGAGCACGACCGCCACCGCCGCCACGACGACCACGACGACAACCACGACCCAGCGGCCUCCCGCUCCAGCCUUCAGGCCAUCGCCCUUCAGGACCCCCGUGAUCCGCGGUCCUCAGCAGAGUUUCACACAGCCACCGACUCAGACGGUCCCGACCUUCGGAACCGCUGCGCCAGCCAUCGUUCAGCCGAACCCCUUCUCGCAGUCCCCAGCGAGAUCGCCCCUCGUUCCGGCCGGCGUCUUCCCAGCUAACUCCGUGAGCGGAGCGGGUACCCCACCCGUCGGCCCUCCGCCGAUCCCCAACAAUGCCGUCGCCGCCGGCGGUAUCGUCCAACAAACGGCCCCGCCAACCCUGCCGCCGCAGCAUCCGCAGAACUUCCCGGGAUCUGCGUUCAGGCUACCACCGCGACAACUCAUCAGGAGGCCCGGUGCCAGCCUCGCCACGACUACCACCACACCACCGCCGUCGACCGCCGAGUACGAAUACUACGACUACGAGGAAGAGACCAAGACCGCCGCUCCCAGGACCAAGCGCGCCGCCGCGGUCCCCGUCAAACUCGUACUCCCACCCAACAGGCAAACCUCUGCUGAGCAGACCAGCUUCAGCUGCCAGGACAAGGUGGCCGGAGGAGUGUACGCCGACCCGGAGACCGACUGCCAACUCUUCCACAUCUGUGUACCCGUCGGCAAGGGCAAGCUGCUAGACUACGGCCUGCUCUGCGACGAAGGAACCGCCUUCAACCAGGAGACCGGCACGUGCGACGAGCGCGACAGCUUCUCGUGCGCGCGCAGCCUGCAGUUCACUCGCACCGACAAGACCAAGAAGUUCCUGGCCGACAAGAAGCCCUGGGCGUUCCCCAAGUUCAACAAGCGAGUCGUGCGCGACGUCGGAGCCCAGGAGGACGUGGAGAGUCGUUCCGCCGAGGUGCGGGAACACGGCGAGGAAGAAGGCCUGCUCGUAGCCGCCGUCGAGCUGCCCGUGACAUCGUUCACCUGCGAGGGCAAGACUGUGGGCGGCUACUACGCGGACGUCGAAACCGGCUGCCGCAUGUUCCACAUCUGCGCCCACACGGACAUGCGCUUCCUGUGCACCAACGGCACGGUGUUCGACCAAAAGGCGCUGGUCUGCAAGAACGAGGACGAGGUCCACUGCGAGGACGCGCCCAAGCACUACGCCAACGGGCUGACGCGGUUCUUGGAGCACCAGAAGCUCAGGCCCGAGGAAGACGCGCGCGAGCAGUCACGGGCCGACGCGUACGAGAUCACCAAGGUCAAGAACAAGUACCCCAAGAAGGUCGGUCAUUACAAACUGCGCAGGUAUCUCUAAAAAAGAGCGUGCGAUAUGGGAGACGGUGACGACGACGAAGCGCCCGCCGUCGCUCGUCACGUUCUCUCACUUUUUUUCCUUGCAGUGAUCGAGCGCUGUCACGUCGUCAACAGGCUUCGGGGCAUUCUUCGAAGGGACCAGCACUCCGAGCUGCGCCGCUAAUUUUCGAUGUGUGAGCUUUGUAUUGCGGAAGGACGCUGUGACAACCAGUACGCUAUACGCCACAGUAAGCCUUCAAGGGCCUCAGCGACUGCUAUUGAACGAAUAUUGUGGAUACUUCCCGGUACAAGGUCCUCAGCGGUGUUAUCAUAUGCUAUGCACUUUAUUGCGGCGGGGCAAUCGAAGUGCAAACACGACUGAAAUUCGCAACCAUUGGUGUGCCGUGCGGUCAGUAAUACCACUGAAGUCUAUGUCUAGAGCACACUAUUCACGCAACAUCCAAGGACGCGCCGCGACGCCGAACAUACGCUCCAUGUGGCUGUCGGUUCCGAAGCGCGCUUACGUAUGCGUAUGAACAGAUGCAACUGUAACCUGGGGAAGGGCACUGCUACCUGGAAGGAGUCUGCAGUUCUACGACGACCAUAAUACCGAUUGCAAGUGUAGAACGCUGCAGUUUCAGUUCAGCGCACCCUGUAACGCAUAGCAGACUGGUCGCCACGCCGUAAUUCUCAAUAAAGCGUGCGCCAACCGGCGUGGACUUCAGUCGAGACGCGGAAAAGCAAGGCGUCGUUGUGCUGCCUACUCCGUUCCCGCCUCCUGGCCGAUGCGCGCAUUCCACGAAGAUGACCGUGCCAGCAUCGGUCGAUUCAUCGCUCUGCCCGACGACGUGUCUGCACACCGCGCUGUCAAGUGCACACCAGCAGCCACCACAACGCGGUGGAGUCAUUUGUUCUGGAUUCGGUACAAGGCCGGCGCAAAAAAAAAUAUAUUCCAAUGCCUAGGAUAUGUUACUCCAGGCACGAUGCCAUACACGAAGCCGCAAAACACGCAUACACUGCGACGACUUGACAAGCGACAAUGGGUUGGGGAGUCCGGACUUGGGGCACGUCAGGUGCGAUCUGCACGCAUUGUGCUGCUUUCACCAAUACUCUGUUUUUUGUUUGUGUCGAGCGUGUUCUGUGUUUCUUUUUUAUGUACAAUAAAAAAAGAAGACACA